UACGGGGGGAGCAAGCGUUGUUCGGAUUUACUGGGCGUAAAGGGCGCGUAGGCGGCGCAACAAGUCACUUGUGAAAUCUCCGGGCUUAACCUGGAGCGGUCAAGUGAUACUGUCGUGCUAGAGUGCGGAAGGGGCUACUGGAAUUCUCGGUGUAGCGGUGAAAUGCGUAGAUAUCGAGAGGAACACCUGCGGCGAAGGCGGCCGACUGGUCCGGUUCUGACGCUGAGGCGCGAAAGCCAGGGGAGCGAACGGG
rnacentral:rRNA from 1 species